ensembl:lncRNA
UUAUAAGUGACCCCAAACUUUCGAACGGUAGUGUACUUUUACACAACUAUUUAUAAAGUUUUAACAUUUUGAAUUACGGAUUAAGUAGUAAAACAAUGUACAGUCAAAGUUUGGACACACCUACGUUCUCAUUCAAGGUUUUUAGUUAUUUAUCUUUAGUCUUUUCUAGAUUGUAUAAUAGUGAAGACAUCAAAACAUAUGGAAUCAUGUAGUAACCAAAAAAGUGUUAAACAAAACAAAAUAUAUUUUAUAUUUGAGAUUCUUCAAAGUAGCCACCCUUUGACUUGUAAAAAAUGUAAAUAAAAAUAGCAAAAAUAAAGAAAAACCCUUGAAUGAAAACCCUCUGCUCUCUUCCUCUCAGUUCAAUUCAAUUCAAGGGGCUUUAUUGUUAUGGGAAACAUGUGUUUACAUUGCCAAAGCAAGUGAACUAGAUAAUAAACAAAAGUUAAAUAAAAAAAUUAACAGUGAACACAAAUUACACUCACAAAAGAAUACAGACAUUUCAAAUGUCCAAUUAUGUGCAAAUAGUGUGGAAGUGGCAGGGAUGAGUCUCUCAGAUCGUUCACAGCUUUGUGGAAGUUACGUGUGGCGCUGUUGUUUAGGCCGAGGCAUGUAUAGUAUUGUGUGUGCUCUAGGGCAACGGUGUCUAGAUGGAAUUUGUAUGUGGUCUGUGUCUCCCUCUCUCUCAAUCUCGAAUCAGCCAACAGGAGAGUCAAUGACCCAAUACUUGAGCUAUACCUCCAUCUAGUGGCCAAGCAUUUCACUACACCCCCAAUAACAUACACAUGCCAGAUAUCUGUGUUCGCGACCAAUACAAUCAGAUUUUUAUGUGAUGGUUCUUAUUUUCCCAUCUAAAUCAGCUUAACCCGCUUUAGUUGUUUCUUUUUGGAGUCUAUAGCAACGUUUUUUUGUCCCAUUUUAUUACCGUUGACACAUUUUUUUUUCAAAUGUGAUUUUGGUAAGUGAUUUUAGAAUGUGAUUUUGGUAAGUGAUUUUAGAAUGUGAUUUUGGUAAGUGAUUUUAGAAUGUGAUUUUGGUAUGUGAUUUUGGUAAGUGAUUUUAGAAUGUGAUUUUGGUAAGUGAUUUUAGAAUGUGAUUUUGGUAAGUGAUUUUAGAAUGUGAUUUUGGUAAGUGAUUUUAGAAUGUGAUUUUGGUAAGUGAUUUUAGAAUGUGAUUUUGGUAAGUGAUUUUGCCACAAGUUAUGUUCACCCAGUUGUGUUUAUUUGUUUACCAUGGUUUUUCAUUUAGUUUUCAACUCCAAAAGGUGAGAGUAAAUCCCCCAUGUUUAGUGGAACUUUGUAGGGCAUCAGUGGUUCGUUUUCCCUUAAUGUGUUUUUUUUUCUUCUGAUUGUCAGGCAGGAGGAUAUUUUUAUUAAUGACUUGAUCUAUGAUUUACAGCUUUUCUCUUCCUUCAUCAUCUCCAG